rnacentral:rRNA from 1 species
AUGUACGUGGAUGCGUGGAAAGCCAACAUCCCAGAAUUCAAGAAUCCCUUUGCUCCAUUGAGGACACCAUCACAGCGGAUCCGUUCGCCGCCGCUGAUCUCAUCGCUACGUCGACGACAACCAUUUGACGCCGCCGAACCCCUUACCAUCGAGUGUCUCCUCCAUUAUGAGUGCAAGCAACAGGAGGUGUCCUCUUGGCACAACGACGUGGUCAACUGGUCACUCCUUCAUCGACAGGUUCUUGCGCUCGGUGGAUUACUUCCACGGUUCCACAGUGGGAGGACACACUCAAGCUACUGUUCAGGCAACGUCUCCACCCACUCGCAAGUUCAACUACAUUGGCUGAGUGCAAGCAGGAUCUGUAGUAAUACUGAGUACUUACAAAUGCACAAAGCUCUGUCUACGUCUGCACAAGCAAAAGAAGGUCGUUGCGGUGGUCGGCUACCAGGAGUAUCUUGUUUGGCCUUGUACCAUGUCGGAUUGUCACUAUUUUUAAAAUCUACUUAUGACUAUUUUGUAAAGGACAAAUUGACAGAUUUGGCAAAAAAUGGGCGUAUUUGGAGCCGGAUGGAAAGAUUGGCAGAUUUGGAGCAGGGUGACGAUGGAGCAGCCUUUUGUCACAAUAACAAAAGAGCUGAAGUGGAAGGGCUCAUGGAAGAAGAGAUGGAAUGA